rnacentral:sRNA from 1 species
CGGCCGCGGCGGGGCGGCGCGGGAACCGGGCCCCGGGGGGAGUCGGCCGGGCUGCUGCUGCUGCUGCUCCAGGACGCUCUGCCCCGCAGCGGGCUGAACCUGAAGGAGGAGCCGCUGCUGCCCGCCGGCCUGGGCUCAGUGCGCUCCUGGAUGCAGGGCGCGGGCAUCCUGGACGCCAGCACCGCGGCGCAGAGUGGCGUGGGUCUGGCACGAGCACAUUUUGAGAAGCAGCCUCCCUCCAACCUCAGGAAAUCCAACUUCUUCCACUUCGUGCUGGCCAUGUACGACCGGCAGGGGCAGCCCGUGGAGGUGGAGCGCACAGCCUUCAUCGACUUCGUGGAAAAGGACCGAGAGCCCGGGGCGGAAAAGACUAACAAUGGGAUCCAUUACCGCCUCCGGCUGGUGUAUAACAAUGGACUGCGGACGGAGCAAGACCUCUACGUG